UACGUAGGGACCAAGCGUUGUUCGGAUUUACUGGGCGUAAAGGGCGCGUAGGCGGCAAUUCAAGUCAUCUGUGAAAUCUCCGGGCUUAACCCGGAACGGUCAGGUGAUACUGUUUUGCUAGAGUGCGGAAGGGGCAAUCGGAAUUCUUGGUGUAGCGGUGAAAUGCGUAGAUAUCAAGAGGAACACCUGAGGUGAAGACGGGUUGCUGGGCCGACACUGACGCUGAGUGCGCGAAAGCCAGGGGAGCAAACGGG
rnacentral:rRNA from 1 species